AUGACCGCGGCCUGGACGCGGCCAGUCGCUGCUACCUGUGCGUUUUCCCGCCUCCACGUCAAGCUCGCCCGUACGGCCAAGGACCUCCGCAUUUGGAGUCAGAGCGUCUUUGGUGACGCAAAGCUGCAAUUCCACAUAACCUGCGAGGUAAUCUUGCGCCUCGAUGAAGCCCAGGAAAGACGUCACGUCUCGCCGGCCGAACGAGAACUGCGGAAGGGACUCAAGCUCAGGUUGUUGGGGCUGGCAGCGAUCGAGCGCUACAGGAAGAGGCAGGCCUCUAGGCUCACCUGGUUGCGCUCUAGAGACGCCCCAACCAAUUUCUUCAUGGCAAAGAUUUAGUCGAGAAGGAGGAAGAAUUUCAUUCAUGCUCUGAAAGUCAAUGAAACAGUAGCCACGGCGCACAGCGACAAAGAAGCGGCCAUUCACAGCCAUUUUGACAGCAUCCUCGGGUCUACCAAGUAGUGAUCAACUACGAUAAACUGGAGCCAGAUUCACAUGCCAACAAUUCAAGGUGGUGGACUUGACAACCCAUUUUCUGAGCAAGAAGUG
rnacentral:rRNA from 1 species